CAUCCUGACAAGCCAGUCAGUCCUGCUCUGCAAAGCAUGUGUCCAUGCCAGAUUUCUGAUGAUAAACCGACUAUGACUGAUAUUCCCUUUAUACUCUGCAACAGCAGCCAUUAGCCCUGCUGGAGUUGUUCUGUUGCACUGAAAGCUACUGAGAGGACGGUUUGCAAGUCUUUUAUGUCUGCAACACGGCUAUUUAUAUCUUGAACACUGUACAGCAAUGAUGGGAAGUGAAUCAUCAAAGAUGCUUUGAUUACAUGAAUAAGAUUCAAUUUCAGGUUUAUCCUAAUGAUGCAAAUAUUCUUCCCUGGAGAUGCAUACAUGGAGUCUCUUGCUUGCUGUCCUGGCAGCGGCAUGAGUUAGGACUUUGCCCCUUUCAGAUCUGACUAGUUAAGCAGAAAGGUUAGAAGGACCUGGUCAGUAAUUAAGUGGGAGACCUCCAAGGUGAAUUUGGAAUGAGAGGGAGAGAGUAGGGACUUUUAUUCACUAUGUCGCAGAUUUUUUUAAUCUGAAUCCAUAGUAAACCWGUGGUCCUGCAAGCUGCACCGUCAAGGAAGGAAGUGGUCUAAGCUGSCUGGAGCUGUCACCCAUGAGUAGAGAUAGCUUAUGUUGGCAAGGCUGCAGCACUUCCUUUUGCUCUGCCUUUUGUGCUGCUCCUGCUGUCUUUUAUCAUUUUCCACCUCUGUCUCAGGACUGGUUCAGCUGCUUGUGAAGCACCAGGGGAACUGCCACAGUCCAGCCCGGCAAGAAAAACCCACAGCGACUUCGGCAUCGCUCCACAUCGCUAGGCCAGAACGCGAGCAGCAGAGCCACCCUCCGGACCUGGGAUCAGCUGGGACUGGAAGUCCUGGGCCGUCGCAAGGUGAACCACACUGCCUCGUGGCCCCGGCACCGGACACCAGCUGGGUUUCUGCAAGGUUAAGAAGUGUUACCUCAAAAUCGGUGCCAUACUCAUGCGGCAGUGACCUGGCUGCAAAAGGAAACGCAAAGGUUUGAAGACACGUGCGCCUGCCCGUGCUACUGCUGUGCGUGUCGCUGGCAAGAGACACYGGGGAGACUAAGACAAGGGCCACCUGGCUGGGGAGGAUAACUCCCAAACUGCCAAGUUUUCUCUAUAUUCAUUUAGGACUUUAAUCGUCCUUCACCGUGUAUUUUUCCGUUGUUUGCCCCUCUCCUACCAUAGAGCACCAGUUGUAAAUAAUAAUUAAAAAACUGAAGUAAUACAAAUACUCAUUCCUGUGAAAGUGUGUUUUUUGCCAUACAGGCUGCUCCAGGUUGAUUAGCUCAGCUCCAUGCUAAGAAAAUCUGUUCUUCUGGUAAUGUUCUUCCACCUGCCUGCAGGAAAAAAGAAAUCCAUUUUUAACUUAGAGAAUAAAAAAUCAAUGUUAGUUUUACCA
rnacentral:lncRNA from 1 species